UAGAGGAAGUAAAAGUCGUAACAAGGUUUCCGUAGGUGAACCUGCGGAAGGAUCAUUAUCGUGCGAAUAGAGGCACUGGGGCUGUCGCUGACCUUUUGAAAAAAGGGUCGUGCACGCCCCAGCGCGCUCAUACAAUCCAUCUCACACCUUUGUGCACUACCGCGUGGGCCCUCUUCGGCUCGUUCUGAGGGGGGUUCACGUUUUAUUUACACACCACACACGUCUUGUAUAGAAUGUCUUUACUUAUUUUGCGAUCACACGCAAUCAAUACAACUUUCAACAACGGAUCUCUUGGCUCUCGCAUCGAUGAAGAACGCAGCGAAAUGCGAUACGUAAUGUGAAUUGCAGAAUUCAGUGAAUCAUCGAAUCUUUGAACGCACCUUGCGCCCCUCGGCAUUCCGAGGGGCACACCCGUUUGAGUGUCGUGACAUUCUCAACCUUUUUUGGUUUCUCGACCAAGGAAGGCUUGGACUUUGGGGGUUUUUGCUGGUCUCCUUUGAANCCAGCUCCUCUUAAAAGAAUUAGUAGGGUUCGGUUUGCCAGUCCUUGACGUGAUAAGAUGCUUCUACGUCUCGGGUUUGGCAGCAAUCCACCUAUGGNUCCUGCUUCUAACCGUCUUGCUGAAGGACGAUGUUCGAACCUUGACCUCAAAUCGGGUGAGACUACCCGCUGAACUUAAGCAUAUCAAUAA
rnacentral:rRNA from 1 species